ensembl:snRNA U6 U6 spliceosomal RNA
GUGCUUGCUUCUGUAGCACAUAUACUAAAUUGAAAUCAUACAGAGAUUAGCAUGGCCCCCAUGCAAGGAUGACAUGCAAACUCGUUAAGCAUUCAAUAUUAAA